CACCGGCCUAGCGACAGCGUCCCAGGAACACCUCCCUCGGGCCGGGGCUAGGCCCCAAGCUCAGCCCCUGUGGUCCACGGCCCCUGGCACCGGCUUGCCUGUGCUCUCUGGCCACCGGCAGGGACGCCAGGCUCACCUGCCCUUGCGCCCCACCCCCUCCACGCCCCGAGCCACAGGUGUUGGUGAUGUCAGCUUUCACAAGGCCCCGGAUCGCAGAAUAAACGGUGUGGCCUCCCACGUCUUAACCUUGUGCGGAUGGAACUGCCAGACCCAUCUGGGCGAGGUUUGCUCAGCACAAAGCCAGGAGAAGGUUUUAAGGCACCAGCACAGACUGCACUGAAGAACUCGCAUGGCUCAACCAAUUAGACACAAUCAUACUACUUGAAAGGAAGACGUGAGACGAAGCCACAUUUCUGCAGUUUCUGCUGGAAAGCAGGUCAGAUACAGAGACAAGAAUCUGCAAUCAGUACCACUUACAACUGAAGAGUUUCACCUUAACACAUGUCAUCCCAGUGCAUCUGGAAAUCUUCAUAUGAGUGAAAAGGACAGUCAGGGGGUAUGGUGUGAAGAAUAUUUAUUAUUUGUCCCCGUUUCAUACUAUGAAAAAUAAGAGUUGAUAAAAUAUUAUGAGCCAA